GGGUUAUUAUGGGAGGUUUGUUGAGGGUUCUUACUUAUUGCAGCUUCUCUAACUAAGUUGUUGCGUAAGAACGCCCCAUUUGUCUAGACUGAUGAGCAGCAAUCGAGUUUUAAGAAGCUUAAAUCCGUUUUGACUCAGGCUCUUAUUCUGAUGCAGCCCAAAUUUCGAUAAGGAAUUCGUGGUUUUUAGUGAUGCAUCACAUAUUGGUUUCGGUUGUGUUCUGAUGCAAGACGGUCCUGACAGCUUAAGUUAUACGAGUGCAACUAUCCUACACACGAUCUUGACUUAGCUGUGGUUGUCUUCACCUUAAAGGUUUAGAGGCAUUAUCUGUAUAGUGAGAGGUGUAUCAUUUACACCGAUCAUAAAAGCCUCAAAUAUCUUCUUACUCAUAAGGAGUUAAACCUUAGGCAACGUAGAUGGAUUGAGUUGCUUAAGGAUUACGACUGUACUAUUGAGUAUCAUCCCAAUAAGGCCAAUAUAGUGGCCGAUACUUUUAGUUGUAGAGCAAUGUCUGAUUUGAGGGUGAUGUUUUCUCGCCUAAGUCUGUUUGAUGAUGGGAGUCUGUUAGUCGAGUUGCAAGUUAAGCCGACUUAGAUUGAUCAGAUUCGGGUUAAACAGUUAGGGGAUGAUUCUUUAGUUUUGAGAUUUCAUCAGGUGGAGGAUGGUAGUAUGUCUAAUUUUAGGCUGAACAGUGAUGCGGUUUUGUGUUUUUGAGGAUGGGUCUGUGUGCCUAACGACUUCGAUUUGAGGCAGUCCACUCUGCGGGAAGCACAUAGUAGCUCAUAUGCUAUUCAUCCCGGUGGAAACAAGAUGUAUCAUGAUUUGCAUAAGUUAUACUGGUGGUCGGGGUUGAAACGAGAGGUAACAUAUUUUAUUUCUCAGUGUCUAACGUGCCAGCAGGUUAAGGCUGAGCACGAAUUUCCUUCGGGUUUACUUCAACCCAUUAAGAUUCCCCUAUGGAAAUGAGAAUAGGUGAUUAUAGACUUCGUUAGUGGGUUGCCCUUAACACCCACUAAGAAGAAUUCUGUGUGGGUCAUCAUAGAUCGGCUGACCAAGGCUGCCCACUUCAUUCCUGUUAGGACAUAUUACUCCCUUCAGAAGUUGGCUAAGUUAUAUGUUUCUAAGAUCGUGAGAUUUUAUGAGGUUCCUAUCUCAAUUAUUUUUGAUAGAGAUCCUCGCUUCACUUCUCGAUUUUGGAAAAAGUUCCACGAGGCUCUAGGUUCGAGAUUGGACUUUAGUACUGCGUUCCAUCCUUAGACUGAUGGUCAAUUUGAGAGCGUGAUUCAGAUAUUGGAGGAUGUGAUUCAAAAUUCUGUGAUCGAUUUUCAAGGUAGUUGGGAGGAGUUUCCGCCGUUAGUCGAGUUUGCCUAUAAUAACAGUUUCUAGUCUAGUAUUCAGAUGGCACCUUACAAGGCUAUGUAUGGUCGUAAGUGUCGUACUCUGUUAUGUUGGACUGAGUUGGGUGAGCGACGGGUUUUGGGUCUUGAGUUGGUUUUCGAGACUGAGGAUAAAGUUAGACUGAUUCGGGAUCGGCUUAAGGUGGGUUUUGAUAGAUAGAAGUCUUAUUCGGAUCUAAAGAUGCGAGAUAUUGAGUAUUCUGUGGAGGACUAUGUUUUUCUUAAAGUAUCUCCGUGGAAGAAGGUUCUACGGUUUGGAUGUAAGGGCAAGUUGAACCCCAGGUUCAUUGGACCGUAUCAAAUUCUGAAACGUGUGGGACCAAUCGCCUAUCAGUUAGAGCUACCUCCAGAGCUGAAUUGUAUUCAUGAUGUGUUCCAUGUCUCCAUGUUGAGGUGGUAUCAGUUGGACCUCUCUCAUAUUCUUUUUGUUGAGGAGAUUGACAUUAGACUGGAUUUGACAUUUGAGGAGGAGCCGAUUUAGAUUAUGGAUCGAGACGUUAAAGUCUUGAGAAGGAAGUCCAUUCCUUUGGUAAAGAUUCUGUGGCGGAAUCAUGGUAUUAAGGAAGCUUUGUGGGAACCUGAGGACUUGAUUAGACAACAAUAUCUGCAUCUGUUUGAAUCAGGAUGUUCGAGAGACGAUCAAUGAUCCUCCAGCGACUUAAAAUUCGUGUAGUUGCUGUCUGUUAAGUGGUGUGGGAGUACCCGAUUAUUGAUUUCAUGUCAGAAAACCUCCAGGUGUGUAAUGAGAAACCCGAAAAUCAGCAAACGAUAAAAGCCGAAAAACAACAUUGUCAAUGUCACAAGGCCGUGUGUUAGGC